rnacentral:rRNA from 1 species
UACGAAGGGGGCUAGCGUUGCUCGGAAUCACUGGGCGUAAAGGGUGCGUAGGCGGGUUUUUAAGUCAGAGGUGAAAUCCUGGAGCUCAACUCCAGAACUGCCUUUGAUACUGAGAAUCUUGAGUUCGGGAGAGGUGAGUGGAACUGCGAGUGUAGAGGUGAAAUUCGUAGAUAUUCGCAAGAACACCAGUGGCGAAGGCGGCUCACUGGCCCGGUACUGACGCUGAGGUGCGAAAGCGUGGGGAGCAAACAGGG